rnacentral:rRNA from 1 species
AUUGAACGCUGGCGGCAGGCCUAACACAUGCAGGUCGAGCGGACGAAGGGAGCUUGUUCCUGGAUUCAGCGGCGGACGGGUGUGUAAUGACUAGGUAGCUACCCUGCCGCUGGGAAUAACGUACGGACACGGGAGCUAAUACCGUAUCCGUUCUGAGGGAGAAAGGCGGGGUUCUUUGGUGCUCACGCUAUUUGCUGUGCCUAGGUCGUAUUAGCUAGUUGGUGGGGUAAAGGCGUACCAACGCGACUGUCCGUAACUGAUCUGAGAGGAUGAUCAGCCACACUGGAACUGAGACACGGUCCAGACUCCUACGGGAGGCAGCAGUGGGGAAUAUUGCGCAAUGGGCGAAAGCCUGAGCCAGCCACGCCGCGUGUGUGAUGAAGGUCUUCGGAGUGUAAAACACUGUGAUUAGGGAAGAACAACUGUAAAAUAAUACAUCGAUGUCUUGACGGUACCAUGAGAAUAAGCAACGGCUAACUGCGUG